GUAAGUUGGUGGUUGAAGAUAUCCCUCAAGUGGUGUGGGGGGCUGUGCUUUGGCAAGGUGGGUGGGGUUAUAUCCUGCCUGUUUGGCCCUGUCCGGGGGUAUCGUCGGAUGGGGCCACAGUGUCUCCCGACCACUCCUGUCUCAGCCUCCAGUAUUUAUGCUGCAGUAGUUUAUGUGUCGGGGGGCUAGGGCCAGUCUGCUAUAUCAUAUAAUUUGACCACAGUGAGUGCAUUUGUUAUGUUAAAUCCAUACAAAGUACAGUCAUUUGUUGAAUUUGAGGCACGUGUGAAAGUGACAAACCAUUGAUGAAAUACUAUAAAAAUGUGAUAAUGGGAAAUGGAAUGAGAGAUGGCUGAUCUUCCUCUGGUGGAAGAUUUGGCACACGCUGCAGAGAGCAGGGUUUUGGAGACAGGUGGGACUUUUUUGCAUAAAGUACAGAUUGGUUUUGGGAAACAGGAUUUAAGACCAGCUUUAGAAAAGUAAAUGCGUGCUUUUCCAGUGCACUUCCAAGUGCUAUCCAUCCUCGGGUUUUUGGCAAUGGGCACUUUUCAGCAGGAGCUUGCCCAUCGGCAUCUCACAGCCCUCAAUGAGGCAAUGUUUUGCAUGCAAUCAUCAGCAAAACGAACAGUAUCAUACAAUUUCCAUACACCAUUAUACAACAGGUUGAAGUCGAGGGGUUUCUUUGCCAUCAAUGGGUUCCUAAAACAUUAAUGGAGCAGUGGCGACCUGUCAUUCAGUGCAGGUGGGGAAGAGCCCCACCUGUUUCGCAAAAAAAUAUAUUACAAUCAUUUUUUGUUGUUGCCUGUUUCACAUGUUAUUUUGGCAUUAAUACGUGUCACAUAUCAGUUUGCAAACAAUCCCAAAAAUAUUUUAUUAAGUUAAUAAAGCCGCCUACAAACAUG
rnacentral:lncRNA from 1 species